rnacentral:rRNA from 1 species
UACAGAGGGUGCUAGCGUUGUUCGGAAUCAUUGGGCGUAAAGGGCGUGUAGGCGGUUUGUUAAGUCAUGUGUGAAAUCCCUCGGCUCAACCGGGGAACGACGCAUGAAACUGGCAAGCUAGAGUACCAAAGAGGGGGGUGGAAUUCCCGGUGUAGCGGGUGAAAUGCGUAGAUAUCGGGAGGAACACCUGUGGCGAAGGCGGCCACCUGGACCAGCACUGACACUGAGGCACGAAAGCGUGGGGAGCAAACAGG